rnacentral:rRNA from 1 species
GACGAACGCUGGCGGCGUGCCUAAUACAUGCAAGUCGAACGCAGUGGGGACGGGUGAGUAACACGUGGGUAACCUCCCAUCAGCGGGGAUAACACUUGGAAACAGGUGCUAAACCGAUACUGAUGGAUGGACCCGCGGUGCAUUAGCUUGUUGGUGGGGUAACGGCUCACCAAGGCCACGAUGCAUAGCCGACCGGGGAGGGUGAGCGGCCAACAUGGGACAGAGAGUCGGCCCAUGCCCCAACGGAAUGCAGAAGUCGGGAAUCUUAGGAAAUAGACAAUAGUCUAACCGAGCCACGGCGCGUAAGUGAAGAAGGUUUGCGGAUAGUAACACUCGGUAGAUAGAGAAGCGGUAGCUAACCAGAAAGCCACGACAGACUUCGUGACAGCAGCCGCGGUAAUAC